rnacentral:rRNA from 1 species
GACGAACGCUGGCGGCGUGCUUAACACAUGCAAGUCGAACGGACAGGCCCUGCUUUUGUGGGGUGCUCGAGUGGCGAACGGGUGCGUAACACGUGAGUAACCUGCCCUUGACUUUGGGAUAACUUCAGGAAACUGGGGCUAAUACCGGCUAGGAGCUCCUGCUGCUUGGUGUGGGUUGGAAAGUUUCGGCGGUUGGGGAUGGACUCGCGGCCUAUCAGCCUGUUGGUGGGGUAGUGGCUUACCAAGGCUUUGACGGGUAGCCGGCCUGAGAGGGUGACCGGCCACAUUGGGACUGAGAUACGGCCCAGACUCCUACGGGAGGCAGCAGUGGGGAAUAUUGCACAAUGGGCGGAAGCCUGAUGCAGCAACGCCGCGUGCGAGAUGACGGCCUUCGGGUUGUAAACCGCUUUCGCCUGUGACGAAGCGUGAGUGACGGUAAUGUGUAAAGAAGCACCGGCUAACUACGUG